ACCAGACUCCUACGGGAGGCAGCAGUGGGGGAUAUUGCACAAUGGGGGAAACCCUGAUGCAGCGACGCCGCGUGGGUGAAGAAGCGCCUCGGCGCGUAAAGCCCUGUCAGCAGGGAAGAAAAUGACGGUACCUGAAGAAGAAGCCCCGGCUAACUACGUGCCAGCAGCCGCGGUAAUACGUAUGGUGCAAGCGUUAUCCGGAUUUACUGGGUGUAAAGGGAGCGCAGGCGGCACGGCAAGCCUGAUGUGAAAGCCCGCGGCCCAACCGCGGGACUGCAUUGGGAACUACCGGGCUGGAGUGCCGGAGAGGGAGGCGGAAUUCCUAGUGUAGCGGUGAAAUGCGUAGAUAUAAGGAGGAACACCGGCGGCGAAGGCGGCCUGCUGGACCGUAACUGACGUUGAGGCUCGAAAGCGUGGGGAGCAAACAGGAUUAGAGACCCCCGUACUA
rnacentral:rRNA from 1 species